rnacentral:rRNA from 1 species
CGAUGUCUUCUUGGUGGUGGUGCGCUUGAGGCGUGGCUUCCGGAUCUUACGCGUUUAGUAGACCGGCUGGGGAGUUCUGCCGCUUGUUUAAAUCUCAAUUGUUUUGACGGGGGCCCGCACAAGCGGUGGAGCAGGUGGGUUAAUUCGAUGCAACGCGAUGAUCCUUACCUGGGCUUGACAUCCUCAGUACUUUACUGAGAUGGUUUGGUGCCUUCGGGAACUGUGAGACAGG